rnacentral:rRNA from 1 species
CCUACGGGUGGCAGCAGUGGGGGAUAUUGCACAAUGGGGGAAACCCUGAUGCAGCGACGCCGCGUGAGUGAAGAAGUAUUUAGGGAUGGUAAGCUCUAUCAGCCGGGAAGAAAAUGACAGUACCUGACCAAGAAGCCCCGGCUAACUACGUGCCAGCAGCCGCGGUAAUACGUAGGGGGCAAGCGUUAUCCGGAUUUACUGGGUGUAAAGGGGGCGUAGGCGGUUAUGUAAGUCUGGAGUGAAAGCCCGGGGCCCAACCCCGGGACUGCUUUGGAAACUGUGUAACUGGAGUACAGGAGGGGCAGGCGGAAUGCGUGGUGUAGCGGUGAAAUGCGUAGAUAUCAGGCGGAACACCGGCGGCGAAGGCGGCCUGCUGGACUGAAACUGACGUUGAGGCACGAAAGCGUGGGGAGCAAACAGGAUUAGAUACCCCAGUAGUC